AACAGGAAAGUGCGGGGCAAAGAUUUGCAGCUGAUGAAGCUUGCGGCCAUUCUACAUGUUUCUUCACAGUUCCUCCAGACCCCUCUUCUGCUCAGGCCACAAUUAACUCCUGCUGCUCCUCCCACCACAAGCACCUUCUCUGCCCAGCUGAAGCCCCUCCCGCCUCUUCCCCAUACCUACGCUUUCUUCUACUGUUCUAGCUUUGAGAAUCCGCAGGUGGAACUGGACAGACAGCCAUUCUCACUGCGGGAAAGACUGGAAUGGAUCUUAGGAGACACAGGCAGAAGCUACGCCAUGGGAGAAUACGUGCACUCAAAUACCACUUCAUCAAAGUCUUGUCUAAAUGCUGCCUUGAAGCCUGAGGUAUCAGUGAAGAAUAAAGGCCACUGAGCUGGAUGUCCGGGCAGUGAGUGG
rnacentral:lncRNA from 1 species